AGCUCGUCCCGAGCGAAACUGCGGAUGGCUCAUUAAAUCAGUUAUGGUUCAUUGGAUCGAGUCCCCCGACAUGGAUMACUGUGGUAAUUCUAGAGCUAAUACAUGCGUCCAAGCGCCGACUCCACGAAGGCGUGCUUUUAUUAGGAACAAGACCAGCCCGGUUUCGUCCCUCRCGGGGCGGGCCGGCAAAGACUGGUGAACUCUGGAUAACACAGCCGAUCGCACGGUCCUGGCACCGGCGACGGAUCCUUCGAAUGUCUGCCCUAUCAACUUUCGA
rnacentral:rRNA from 1 species